CCCCUUCAAGGUCAAAUAUUAAUAGGUCUAAGUUUUGGAGGCAUAUAAAUAAAGGAGGAAAAAUAAAUCAUGUUUGGACUUUGAAGGUGUUAGAAAGAGCUGUGAUAAAAGCUUGUUGCAUAGAUGAUGUAAUGGGAGGGAAUGGUAGUGGU